GAUGAACGCUGGCGGCGUGCCUAAUACAUGCGAGUCGAGCGAACAGAUGAGGAGCUUGCUCCUCUGACGUUAGCGGCGGACGGGUGAGUAACACGUGGAUAACCUACCUAUAAGACUGGGAUAACUCCGGGAAACCGGAGCUAAUACCGGAUAAUAUAUUGAACCGCAUGGUUCAAUAGUGAAAGACGGUUUUGCUGUCACUUAUAGAUGGAUCCGCGCCGCAUUAGCUAGUUGGUAAGGUAACGGCUUACCAAGGCAACGAUGCGUAGCCGACCUGAGAGGGUGAUCGGCCACACUGGAACUGAGACACGGUCCAGACUCCUACGGGAGGCAGCAGUAGGGAAUCUUCCGCAAUGGGCGAAAGCCUGACGGAGCAACGCCGCGUGAGUGAUGAAGGUCUUCGGAUCGUAAAACUCUGUUAUUAGGGAAGAACAAAUGUGUAAGUAACUAUGCACGUCUUGACGGUACCUAAUCAGAAAGCCACGGCUAACUACGUG
rnacentral:rRNA from 1 species